rnacentral:lncRNA from 1 species
GUGGUGCUUUUACGAAAAUGAGAGAGAGUUUGCACUAAGAAUUUAUCAAUAUAUGUAUUUUUAAUGUGUGUAUAAUUGGAGAUAAUGGGGAGGAAAUGCUUCAGCCGUGCUAAACGUACACCCGAGGUUGUUAUAGCGUUGGCAUAUGACCUUCUUUCUAUUGGUCCACUGCGUCUAUAUAUAGCAAUAGAGCCGUUCAUGAAAGGUACAUAGCACAGAAUAAGUGAGUUCAAAAUUAGACUCAACAAAAAAAAAAAAUCUCAUCCAAAAUACAACAUCAGAAAACAGUACUACAGAGGAUGACAGGAACAGUGGAGCACCUGAUCCAAAGCA